rnacentral:rRNA from 1 species
UGGGGAAUAUUGCGCAAUGGGGGCAACCCUGACGCAGCCAUGCCGCGUGAAUGAAGAAGGCCUUCGGGUUGUAAAGUUCUUUCGGUAGCGAGGAAGGCAUUUAGUUUAAUAGACUAAGUGAUUGACGUUAACUACAGAAGAAGCACCGGCUAACUCCGUGCCAGCAGCCGCGGUAAUACGGAGGGUGCGAGCGUUAAUCGGAAUAACUGGGCGUAAAGGGCACGCAGGCGGUGACUUAAGUGAGGUGUGAAAGCCCCGGGCUUAACCUGGGAAUUGCAUUUCAUACUGGGUCGCUAGAGUACUUUAGGGAGGGGUAGAAUUCCACGUGUAGCGGUGAAAUGCGUAGAGAUGUGGAGGAAUACCGAAGGCGAAGGCAGCCCCUUGGGAAUGUACUGACGCUCAUGUGCGAAAGCGUGGGGAGCAAACAGGAUUAGAUACCCUGGUAGUCCACGCUGUAAACGAUGUCGAUUUGGGGGUUGAGCUUUAAGCUUGGCGCCCGUAGCUAACGUGAUAAAUCGACCGCCUGGGGAGUACGGCCGCAAGGUUA